GUUUGGGUGAGCCUGUGCUUCCCCAGUUCCAGGUGAGGGAUUCAGGCCUUCCUGGGUGGAAGCUGUUAUUGGAGCACUUGGAAUUGGAUUCUGGAGAAAUGGAGUCAAGAAGAAAUUGGCCAGCAGCUGAAUAAAAGAAAAUGAAGUUCCCUUAAUACAAUCCAUGGAAAGACAACUCAGGUGAAGAAGAUGUGGAAAAUAGACCAUACAUGGAAAUCUGUGAAUCCUAUGCUGGCAUCUGCCUAAAGGAUCAUUUUCUGGGAGAGCAAAGCAGCUCUGCUUGGGAAGCUCUGGAAACUCUGCCACUUGUACCACAAUCACCAGGAGAACUUUAAGCCUUAAAAUAAUCUGAUUCUACCACCAGUUACACAGCAAAUCAAGAUAAAAGUUGCUUCACAGAGGCCUGUUACAUCAUUUCCAUGAUCUGCUCUCACUUUCCACUGCAAUGGCUGCAUGGGAAAUGCCUCUGCUUCUACAACUGAGCUUUAAAGAGCACAAGUCCUCUUCUGCUACAAGGAACCUGUAAAGAGCAACAGCAAUUAAGGAGGGAGGAAAGAAGCUGAAACAGUAAUUCCAAAUGGUUUUCUCCUCAGGACUUCUGGAUCCCACCACUGACUUUCCAGCAGGCCAAGGCAGGUGAAUCCCUGUGUGCCCUGGUUUAUCCAUCUAUAACAUAAACAUGGUCAGCUUUACCUGCUCCACCACUUUGUCACGUGGUGCACCCAAGAAAUAUCUGUGAAUUGCUGUAAGAUUCUGAGACCAAGGGAAGGCUGGAAGUGCCAAGUGUUGUUGUUGUUAUUGUAUUAACAAUGUUGGCUGUUUUCACUGUUCAUAUGGUAGCCUGGCUGGAAUUGGGCAGGAAGCCCAA